CCGUGGGAAACCUCCCAGGCCUGGAUUGGUCCAUCCCUUCCCAGGUUACACCUUUCCUUACAUGUUUCCCCUUGAUAUGCUCAAGUAUGUUCCCCCUCCCUUGGUCAUAAGUCCCAUGACUCGUUAAUGAGGCUCUAAUUUUAUGCGGGGUGUGUCAGAUAAUACUAAUGAAUUUCAUUAAGCAGGUGCACUAACAUUUUUCAGGUGUCCUCAGGUUGACCCUAACUGGUCUGAGCUGGCUCCACCCUUAUCUUGAUUUUGGAGUCUUUAUGGAACCAUCAACUUACUUUUUAUUGGCUAAGCCCGAGCCCACCUGCAGUGUACUACUUCCUGGAGUUCUUUAAAUCUCUGCAUUUUUCUACCUGUGGAAACAUAAGCCCUUCUAACUCUAACCAUCCUGAGCAGGUCACUUAACCCUGAUGCAUCCGUUUCCUUAUCUGUAAAAUGAGCUGGAGAAGGAAGUGGCAAACCACUCCAUUAUCUUUGCCAGGAAAACCCCAAAUGGGGUCCAGAAGAGUCAGACAGGACUGAAAAAAAAACCGACUGAACAAUUACAACAAGAAUUCAUUAGAAGGGAGAGAAAGGGGAGAGGGGAACGGGGAGUACAUGAUCAGACCUGUGCUUUUGAAAAAUCAGUUUGUCAGUUGAGUGAAGAAUGGACUGGAGUAGGGAGAGACUUUAGUCAGGGAAACCAGUCAAAAAGCUUUUAAAGUAAUUCAGGUGAUGAGGGCUUACACCAGGUUGGUGUCAGUCUAUGGCACUUGGCAACAGACUGGAUAUGAAGAUAAGAGAAAGAUCAGAAUUUUUUCCUCCUUUGUAUAGGCUGAAGACUCAUGCCCAGCAGAGGAAUCUUGGAAGUCCACAGUGGAAGAGAUCUGAGAGGAAGCCAUACUGUGGGCUAUCAAGGACUUUUUUAGAAGGUAUUGAUUGGUUUCAUAGUCAUAGCUAUACUCUAACAAGGCAGGGCAAAGCCCC
rnacentral:lncRNA from 1 species